AACGAACGCUGGCGGCAGGCUUAACACAUGCAAGUCGAGCGCCCCGCCAGGGGUGCGGCUGACGGGUGAGUACCGCGUGGGAACGUACCUUUUGGUUCGGAACAACUCCGGGUUACUGGAGCUAUUACCGGAUAAGCCCUAACGGGGAAAGAUUUAUCGCCUAAAGAUUGGCCCGCGUCUGAUUAGCUCGUUGGUCAGGUAACGGCUCACCAAGGCGACGAUCAGUAGCUGGUCUGAGAGGAUGAUCAGCCACACUGGGACUAAGACACGGCCCAGACUCCUACGGGAGGCAGCAGUGAGGAAUAUAGGACAAUGGGCGCGAGCCUGAUCCAUCCAUGCCGCGUAAGUGAUGAAGGCCUUAGGGUUGUAGAGCUCAUUUGUCCGGGAAGGUAAUGACUGUACCAGAAGAAUAAGCCCCGGCUAACUUCGUG
rnacentral:rRNA from 1 species